ACGGGUGAGUAACGCGUGGGUAACCUGCCCUGUACACACGGAUAACAUACCGAAAGGUAUGCUAAUACGAGAUAAUAUGCUUUUAUCGCAUGGUAGAAGUAUCAAAGCUUUUGCGGUACAGGAUGGACCCGCGUCUGAUUAGCUAGUUGGUAAGGUAACGGCUUACCAAGGCGACGAUCAGUAGCCGACCUGAGAGGGUGAUCGGCCACAUUGGAACUGAGACACGGUCCAAACUCCUACGGGAGGCAGCAGUGGGGAAUAUUGCACAAUGGGCGAAAGCCUGAUGCAGCAACGCCGCGUGAGCGAUGAAGGCCUUCGGGUCGUAAAGCUCUGUCCUCAAGGAAGAUAAUGACGGUACUUGAGGAGGAAGCCCCGGCUAACUACGUGCCAGCAGCCGCGGUAAUACGUAGGGGGCUAGCGUUAUCCGGAAUUACUGGGCGUAAAGGGUGCGUAGGUGGUUUCUUAAGUCAGAGGUGAAAGGCUACGGCUCAACCGUAGUAAGCCUUUGAAACUGGGAAACUUGAGUGCAGGAGAGGAGAGUGGAAUUCCUAGUGUAGCGGUGAAAUGCGUAGA
rnacentral:rRNA from 1 species